rnacentral:lncRNA from 1 species
UUAGAUUAAGGUAUAGUAUCAAGUAAACGAUAUUAUAUCUAAUUAUAAGUAGCAAUUAGUGAAUGAAGGUGUUAGACUGAUAAUGACUUAAAAUCAAAUAUAAAGAUUACUAAAAAGACAUUAAUAAAAAGAUACAGUGAUUCAAUAUCAUAUCAUAACAAUCAUCCACAAUUUCAUUAAAUAAAACACUAAACAAAUUCUCAAAACAUAUCAACUACAAUCUUAUUCCAACUGAUCAAUCACUAGUGACAUGACCAUCUUUAUAAACCUAAGCAGCAACUACUACGAGAAGAACAAGGUUUAUACAAAAUCUAAAACUGCAUUUCAAAUAAAUUAGGACUACUUAAGUUGCCAACCAAAUUGAAACACUUGUAAUUGCAUUACAAUUAGUGAGAAUAGAGAAGAGAGGUGGGCCAUUUAAGUUAUCAGCUAGUGGGUUCUCUUUUCAGCCGUUUAUACCACCAAUGUUGUACCUCAUGACAAGAAAGCAGUCUCCAGAACAAAACAUGGAAAUAACCCUCGAAGAGGUAAAAUCUUUUGAAUGGAUGAAUGAUGUUAUAACAACCUUUCUAAUUCCAACAUUUUGUUGAUUGAAUGCUCUUCUCAAAUUGAGAUAGCUGUGAAUGCAACUGAUAAUCACAUUCAUCAAUUUAAUUUAAAUUGAAGGGUUUUAUUACCAAAAUUAUUUCAAGUUAGAAAUCAUUUCAUUAAGAUGUUUCAUGUUCCUUGCUUAUAUUCCAUAAUUCUCCAUGCAAAUAAAAAAAACAGUCAUUUGCAGUAGAGAAAACAAUGAUGGUCUCUUGUUUUAUACUCGUUCAAACAUAUAAAUGCAAAAUGACUUUUAGUUUCAUACUUCCGUUCCAAAAUAUACAAGCAAAAGUCAUUAAAGCUACAAGUAAAAGCCCUAUAUACAAUCCAUCCACUCGUAUAUACAAGUGAGUAGAUCAUUUCUUAAGCAGACAAGCUAGCUCUUUAAUAUUAGGAUUUUAGUAAAUUGCAUAUGACACUUAAUGUACAUUCUUCUAACCGAAGAAAGGAAAAGAAGGCUUUCAUGACCAUCUUUAUUAUAAUAUCAACCCCAAAACGAAACUAAGUUCAAUUAUAGUAAACAACCAGAAUUUUGACAGAAUAUUGCACAAGAUCAACUCCAACAAAUUAGAAAUUACCUAAUUCUUCUCCUAAGUAUGUCACACAUUAAAGCUACAAGAUCAUUGCAGUAUAAUAUAUAACUCUGCAAAACUAAGCAUAUAUUUAUAUGAGCAAAUAAGAUGUAACAACAUCAAUUUGCUAUAACAACUGAAAAAUAAUGCAGCUUCUUAUAGGCUCAAUCUUGCCU